rnacentral:misc_RNA from 1 species
UAACUCGCAUAUAUUCUCCCAUGGUAAGAAAAAGUAAUGUUUCUUUUGGCAUCUUAUAUACCUGAAUAAAGUGCAGUCAACAAAUAAAUGGGAUUCACAUAAAGGAAAUUGAAUGGAUUUUGUUUGUUAAAGCAAGAUAACUGAACAGGAUUCAUAUCUUAAAGUGGUUGAAAUCAUUAUAUGCAACCUACAAUAGAAAUUGUGGCAUGCAAUCUUUGCUAAAACAUCAGCACACAAUAUCUGUCAACAAAUAUUAUUCCACUUUUACCCAUCUGUUAUGAGACCAAAUCCAUAUUAAUCAUGGAGGGAGUUUCAGUCAUUUUGCUCUAGCUGCUU